rnacentral:rRNA from 1 species
GACGGAGGAUGCAAGUGUUAUCCGGAAUCACUGGGCGUAAAGAGCUCGUAGGCGGUUUGUCGCGUCUGCUGUGAAAACUCGGGGCUUAACUCCGGGCCUGCAGUGGGUACGGGCAGACUAGAGUGCGGUAGGGGAGACUGGAAUUCCUGGUGUAGCGGUGAAAUGCGCAGAUAUCAGGGAGGAACACCGGUGGGCGAAGGCGGGUCUCUGGGCCGUAACUGACGCUGAGGAGCGAAAGCCGUGGGGAGCGAACAGG